rnacentral:rRNA from 1 species
UCAGGUAGGGAUACCCGCUGAACUUAAGCAUAUCAAUAAGCGGAGGAAA